CCUACGGGUGGCUGCAGUGGGGAAUAUUGGACAAUGGGCGAAAGCCUGAUCCAGCCAUGCCGCGUGUGUGAAGAAGGCCUUCGGGUUGUAAAGCACUUUCAGUGGGGAAGAAAGCCUUGGGGCUAAUACCCUCGAGGAAGGACAUCACCCACAGAAGAAGCACCGGCUACUCCGUGCCAGCAGCCGCGGUAAUACGGAGGGUGCGAGCGUUAAUCGGAAUUACUGGGCGUAAAGCGCGCGUAGGCGGUCUGAUAAGCCGGUUGUGAAAGCCCCGGGCUCAACCUGGGAACGGCAUCCGGAACUGUCAGGCUAGAGGGCAGGAGAGGAAGGUAGAAUUCCCGGUGUAGCGGUGAAAUGCGUAGAGAUCGGGAGGAAUACCAGUGGCGAAGGCGGCCUUCUGGACUGACACUGACGCUGAGGUGCGAAAGCGUGGGUAGCAAACAGGAUUAGAUACCCCAGUAGUC
rnacentral:rRNA from 1 species